GUAGGUGAACCUGCGGAAGGAUCAUUCAUAAUAAGUGUUUUAUGGCACUUUUUUAAAUCCAUAUCCACCUUGUGUGCAAUGUCAGGGUUGAUUUUUCUCUCGAGAGGAUCAACCCCCAACAUCAACUAUAUCUCAACUCUUUGUCUGAAAAAUAUUAUGAAUAAAACAAUUCAAAAUACAACUUUCAACAACGGAUCUCUUGGCUCUC
rnacentral:misc_RNA from 1 species